rnacentral:rRNA from 1 species
AGAGGGGGGGAUCUUAGGACCUCUCGCUACAGGGGCGGCCGAUGGCAGAUUAGCUAGUUGGUGGGGUAAAGGCCUACCAAGGCGACGAUCUGUAGCUGGUCUGAGAGGACGACCAGCCACACUGGGACUGAGACACGGCCCAGACUCCUACGGGAGGCAGCAGUGGGGAAUUUUGGACAAUGGGGGCAACCCUGAUCCAGCAAUGCCGCGUGUGUGAAGAAGGCCUUCGGGUUGUAAAGCACUUUUGUCCGGAAAGAAAACGUUCUGGUUAAUACCCGGGGCGGAUGACGGUACCGGAAGAAUAAGCACCGGCUAACUACGUGCCAGCAGCCGCGGUAAUACGUAGGGUGCAAGCGUUAAUCGGAAUUACUGGGCGUAAAGCGUGCGCAGGCGGUCCGCUAAGACAGAUGUGAAAUCCCCGGGCUUAACCUGGGAACUGCAUUUGUGACUGGCGGG